CGCCUUUUGUAAUACAUACAUAAAAGGUCCUGCCUGCCCAAUGACUUGUUUUAAUGGCCGCGGUAUUAUGACCGUGCAAAGGUAGCGUAAUCAUUUGUCUUCUAAAUAAAGACCAGUAUGAAUGGCAAAACGAAAGCCUUACUGUCUCCCUAGCCCAAUCAAUGAAAUUGAUCUCCCCGUGCAGAAGCGGGGAUAUUAAUAUAAGACGAGAAGACCCUGUGGAGCUUUAAACUUUCCUAACAUUCAAAUGCUUUUACCAAGUUUUAGGUUGGGGCGACCAUGAGGCACAAUGCAACCCUCACGACAAAACAAGAAGGACACUUCAAACAACUAGUAUAGUACAUUGACCCAAUUUUUGAUCAACGAACCAAGUUACCCCAGGGAUAACAGCGCAAUCUACUCAAAGAGUCCAUAUCGACGAGUGGGUUUACGACCUCGAUGUUGGAUCAGGACCCCCAAACAGCGCAACAGCCGUUAAAGGUUCGUUUGUUCAACGAUUAAAGUCCU
rnacentral:rRNA from 1 species